rnacentral:lncRNA from 1 species
AGGCUGCCUAGGGAGGUGGUGGAGUCAUUGUGCCUGAAGGUAAUAUGUAUCUUGUUCUUGUUCUUACUGUGCUGGCUGGAUUAACCAAACCCCUCCGGGAAGUUCUGCCUUCAUUCCCUGCAGUAAAAACUGGACUGAGCAAUACUGGACACGUCCAUCAGAGCUCACCAGCAGAAAAUGUGGAGCAAGUUCUGGGAGGAGAGGAAGGAGCUUCUUCUGUCAUGGUGCUCGGGGAUGGCCUGUCCUCCUGCCCUCCUUGGACAGCUGUAAACCAGGGAUUCCUGCUGCCAGAAUGGGCUGGAGAUGGCCUCUCCUUAGUGGAGAGACUGGACAAGGAAACAGGUGGGAAGGACGUCGACACCUGAAAUUCAGCAAGACUGUAAGGGCUCUUCCUCCUCCAGCCGAAGCCCGGCAAUUCAGAAGUCCGUGUUCGGAAGGACUCCUCAGCUAUUCUCUUUGAUCCGGCAGCCAGGAGAGGGAGCUCGGCAUCCUACUCCCAGGCUCCACUCGCCCAACAUCACUGAAGACAAUGUUGAUGAUUCUUUUGUUCAACAAAUAAAAGAAGUGGUUCCCACGAGGGAGCCGUGUUGGCAGCUGCUUUAUGCGGGCUUAGGGGAAUUGCGGAUAAUCGAUGCUUGCCAAAGGCAAAAUGGACAGCACCAGUGGAAGAAAACAAAACUAACUCUCAGGCUGCUAAGAGAUUAUUGCAUGCAGAGGGACCCGUUUUGGAAGUCUGGAGUGUCUUCAGUCCGCACAGCCACCAAUGGGAGCAUCAAGCACUCAGGACCAGUGGAAGGGCAUGAGGCUCAACUUGGCACCUUGGACUUCCAUCACCAAAAGCCUGAGGAAAGUCCUCUUGGUAAAACCCUGGGUUCUCUCCAGGAGCAGUGGGCACUCACAGUCCUACUUGAGCUCAGCGAGGGCAACUGGAUAUUCAGUGAUUUUUAUAUUUCAGUGUUGAAGCAUGAGGACAGUCACCUAGCUUUUGGUGUCAGGAAGUUGAACGUUCAAAGCAUCAGAAUGGAAACAGAUUCCCAAAUGUACUGAAUGUUGGUGGAAAGAAAGCACUUUAUAAACGGAUAAUUAUUCAGUGCCAGUCUGCCAGGACUUCAGUAGGAUUUCGAGUGAGACAUUUCUAUAGAUAAAAGUAAUUUUUAAGAAGAGUUCCAUACUCUUAGCACAAAACUUUCUGAGUUUAGUGAUGCCAUUUUAACUGGUUCUGGCUAUUAAUAGUGCUGUGAUUCCUGGGUUUGUUGGAAAUGUGAUCCCCACAUCCAGAGAUGCUGGCUCACCAGCUGUCAUUGGUCCUGGGGGUAUCCUUUCCUGAUGUAGUCUUGGUUCUGUUUCUCCUGUAAAUGUCUGUAUUUGUAUACACUGAUCCCUAGUGAUGGAUUUCUUCAUGGACUGUGUUCCAUCAGCCAUUCCCAGAGCUGCUGUAACAGCACAAAUACACAUUCCAGACACAUUUUCAUCCAAAUCUAGUGUGGGUGAGGACAGAGCCUGGGACAGCCAGCCUAAUCCUGACAGAUAAUUUUUCCCUGGGGCUAGGGUGAAGAAAAGUUAUUCUGAGAGUGCCAGAUGGGCUAUGGAAACAUCCUAACAAUACCUGUAAUUAACAUAUCCAGUGCUCCUUCACCUAAGAGCUUUCAGGAUGACUCACACACCCACCCUACAGAUCCCUGCAGGGUCAGGUGCUGCCUAAGCUGAAUGAGAAAAAGGAUGCAGGCACCCUCAUUGGAGACAGCUCAGAGCAGAGCUGCAGUGACUAGGGAUGUUAGCUCUGUUUUUAGCUGAGCCAAUCUCCUUUCUCUCCACGAAAGCUCAGUGCAGGGAGAGAAUGUUAUCCAUUAACCUUCCAGUAUGCAGAACCUAGUGUUGUCACCCGGCUCCUGGUGAGUGGUGUCAGACAUGGCUGGCGUUCCUCCAUCGAUAUCUUCAAUUACAGUGGCACUUCAGCCAUUCCUAAGAGCAUUUGCCAUUUACACAGUGGAUUUCUCUACCUGUGUGGAUCUCACUGGCACGAAAAAUGAGCAUGUUUUCUGAAUAUACCCUCAUCUUGGAGAAGAAGCAAUGCCAGAAAGACCAAGAAGCCAGAAUUCUGCAUCUUGCAGGCAAUUCAGAUGAUUUGCACAGUCCUCAUCAUUAAGUUCAUACAGCAAAG